AUGGAAGAAGGGCAAGACGUAAAGGAGGCCACGUCUAAGAACUCAGAGGAUUGGGGCAGCACUAAUAACAACAGCAGAUGCGACGGCGGUGACAUGAUCUCCGUCCAAUUCAUGCAGAAGGUAUAUACUCCUAUAUGUGUGCUUGCAGUAUGCAGUUCUGUACUGCGUAGAACGAAUUUUGCUGGAAGAGUCGUGCUCGUUUUACGCAGAUUUGAACAGAUCCUUGCAGAAAUUUUGGGAACCUACUUCAUGAUCUUGGCGGGGUGCGGCUCCGUGGUGGUGAACCAGAGCACGGGCGGCGCGGUGACGUUCCCGGGGAUCUGCGUCGUGUGGGGGCUCGUCGUCAUGGUCAUGGUCUACUCCGUCGGCCACGUCUCCGGCGCGCACUUCAACCCCGCCGUCACCAUCGCCUUCGCCACCUGCCGGCGCUUCCCGUGGAAGCAGGUGCCGUCCUAUGUGCUGGCUCAGGUGCUGGGAUCCACGCUGGCGAGCCUGACGCUGCGGCUGACGUUCGGCGGCGCACACGGGCACUUCCUCGGGACGACGCCGUCCGGUUCGAGCACGCAGGCGGUGGCGCUCGAGUUCAUCAUCUCCUUCUACCUCAUGUUCGUCGUCUCAGGCGUGGCCACGGACGACAGAGCGGUUGGUGAACUGGCUGGUCUCGCAGUCGGUGCCACCGUCGUGCUGAACGUGCUCUUUGCCGGGCCGAUUACGGGGGCGUCAAUGAACCCUGCGAGGAGCCUAGGGCCGGCGAUCGUCGCCUGCCAGUUCGGCAGCGUGUGGGUGUACAUCGUCGGCCCGGUGUGCGGGACGGUGGCGGGAGCCUGGACCUACAACCUCAUCCGGCUCCCUGGAAAGGCAGUUAGAAAUGAUUAG
rnacentral:rRNA from 1 species